AAUCAACGCUGGCGGCGUGCCUAACACAUGCAAGUCGAACGAGAAAGGGGAGCAAUCCCUGAGUAAAGUGGCGCACGGGUGAGUAACACGUGACUAACCUACCCUGGAGUGGGGGAUAACUGAGGGAAACCUUAGCUAAUACCGCAUAAUACCUACGGGUCAAAGGAGCAAUUCGCUUUGGGAGGGGGUCGCGGCCGAUUAGUUAGUUGGCGGGGUAAUGGCCCACCAAGACGAUGAUCGGUAUCCGGCCUGAGAGGGCGCACGGACACACUGGAACUGAAACACGGUCCAGACUCCUACGGGAGGCAGCAGUGGGGAAUUUUGCGCAAUGGGGGAAACCCUGACGCAGCAACGCCGCGUGGAGGAUGAAGUACUUCGGUACGUAAACUCCUUUCGAUCGGGACGAUAAUGACGGUACCGAGAGAAGAAGCCCCGGCUAACUUCGUGCCAGCAGCCGCGGUAAUACGAGGGGGGCGAGCGUUGUUCGGAAUUAUUGGGCGUAAAGGGUGCGUAGGCGGUUUGGUAAGUCUUGUGUGAGAUCUAUGGGCUCAACUCAUAGUCUGCACGAGAAACUGCCG
rnacentral:rRNA from 1 species